AUUGAACGCUGGCGGCAUGCUUUACACAUGCAAGUCGAACGGCAGCGGGGGCUUCGGCCCGCCGGCGAGUGGCGGACGGGUGAGUAAUGCAUCGGAACGUGCCCAGUCAUGGGGGAUAACUACGCGAAAGCGUAGCUAAUACCGCAUACGCCCUGCGGGGGAAAGUGGGGGAUCGCAAGACCUCACGUGAUUGGAGCGGCCGAUGUCAGAUUAGCUAGUUGGUGAGGUAAAGGCUCACCAAGGCGACGAUCUGUAGCGGGUAUGAGAGGAUGAUCCGACACACGGGGACUGAGACACGGCCCAGACUCGUACGGGAGUCAGCAGUGGGGAAUUUUGGACAAUGGGCGAAAGCCUGAUCCAGCCAUGCCACGUGAGUGAAGAAGGCCUUCGGGUUGUAAAGCUCUUUCGGACGGAAAGAAAUCGCACGGGCUAAUAUCCCGUGUGGAUGACGGUACCGUAAGAAGAAGCACCGGCUAACUACGUGCCAGCAGCCGCCGUAACAC
rnacentral:rRNA from 1 species